AGUGAACGCUGGCGGUAGGCCUAACACAUGCAAGUCGAACGGCAGCACAGUAAGAGCUUGCUCUUACGGGUGGCGAGUGGCGGACGGGUGAGGAAUACAUCGGAAUCUACUUUUUCGUGGGGGAUAACGUAGGGAAACUUACGCUAAUACCGCAUACGCCCUACGGGUGAAAGCAGGGGAUCUUCGGACCUUGCGCGAUUGAAUGAGCCGAUGUCGGAUUAGCUAGUUGGCGGGGUAAAGGCCCACCAAGGCGACGAUCCGUAGCUGGUCUGAGAGGAUGAUAAGCCACACUGGAACUGAGACACGGUCCAGACUCCUACGGGAGGCAGCAGUGGGGAAUAUGGGACAAUGGGCGCAAGCCUGAUCCAGCCAUACCGCGUGGGUGAAGAAGGCCUUCGGGUUGUAAAGCCCUUUUGUUGGGAAAGAAAAGCAGCAGGUUAAUACCCCGCUGUUCUGACGGUACCCAAAGAAUAAGCACCGGCUAACUUCGUG
rnacentral:rRNA from 1 species